rnacentral:lncRNA from 1 species
AGGAGUCAGGAUGGCUGAAGACAUCAAGACUAAAAUCAAGAACUACAAAACUGCCCCCUUUGACAGCCGCUUCCCCAACCAGAACCAGACUAAGAACUGUUGGCAGAACUACCUGGACUUCCACCGCUGUGAGAAGGCAAUGACGGCCAAGGGGGGUGAUGUCUCCGUGUGUGAGUGGUACCGGCGUGUGUACAAGUCCCUCUGUCCCGUGUCAUGGGUUCAGCCUGGGAUGACCGCAUAGCUGAAGGCACAUUUCCUGGGAAGAUCUGACCUGGCUCCGCCCACCUCUCCUCUGUUCUUUGUCUUUCUCCCCGGAUAGAAAAGGGGGACCUCAGCAUAUGAUGGUCCUUACCCUGGGACCCUGAAUCAUGAUGCAACUACUAAUAAAAACUCACUGGAAAAGUU